GGAAAUGUGUACCUGACAGAAACGUACAGAAAAACAUACGGAGAUUUCCACUUAUUUAUUCUUCAAAGUAGGCAUAGUAUGAAGACAAACAAGUAGCAGAGAAAAGGUCAGUGAAGUCAUAUCAAAGAUCCAAGAGAAAAACAAGGACAAUGCACAGGUGCAAAUAAUUGAUAAAAAAGACUGUGAUAAACCAGAUAAACACAGAAACGAGAGAUAAACAGCCAUACAAGCACAAACCAAGUACAAGUAAUGAAGUUACAGUAAGUGUGAAUAAAUUGUAUUGUUUUUACUUAUGUUCUUAUUCAUCAGUGAUUUUAUUUUAACCCUUACCAUGCUGGCCACAAUUGGUUCUGCUUUUGCGACUAGUGCAGAAUUAUGAUCAUCCUGCACAUCCAUGCAGACUGAUCAUGAUCACCACUGUUCGCUAUUCAGCCAUUAUGUUUUCGGUAAGCAACCCUUUUAACACUUGAUGUUACUGUCCAAAUUUGAAGAUGGACAAGUUCAUUCAAGAAAUUUAGGAGGGUAAGGGUUAAGAAAAGAAUUUAAACUUAGGGAUGUUCUUUCUAAUCUUGUUUCAAUAUAGUAUAUAUACAAAAUGUAUUUGACAUUUCAUUAUAAUAUUUUUAAAAAAUCAGAUUGAUACAAAUUUAUAUAAUUUCUCUCACAUAAUGAAAAGAAACAUUCCAUAUUAUAUAAAGUUUAUUGAUAUAUUCAUUACACAUAUUAACAUGUAUACAACCGAAACAAAGACAGAGACGGACUGUUUCUACCAAGUUUGUUGGGAGAAGGAUUUCACAAAAGUGGUGUACCAAUGAACAUACGAAUAAGGGGAAAUGGUUUAAAGGUUCGGUGCUUGAUGUUAAGAAAGGAAAAGAUGGGUCUCCUACUGCUAUUUACAAAGUUCAGUACGAUGGUGAGAACACAGCAUAUGAUUUGAAAGAUUUGCAUGCCGACUACAACAGUGGAAACCUCAUGUUCAUUGAUGUUUGACCGAAGAUUCCAUUGAUAGACUCAUUAAUGAAGUAUUGACAUUGAUGUCCACGAAUAUACAAAAGUUUUUCUGUCAUUAUUGCGGGGAUUCUAAUGUAGAAAGGACCCUUUGAGCAUUUUCUUUAAGAAAAUGAUAUUUGUUACUUCACAUUGACUACUUCAAAUAGACCUCAUUGUACACCAUACCUUGAUUUGGACUACUUUCAGUGUGUAAAGUGUAAAAUUAUGAAAAAAUAUGAUGCAUAUGAUAACUUCAUUGAUGGAUUUCAUAAGGAAAAAUGCAGAAAUAUGGAUUUUUGAUUCUCAGCUCAUUUACAAGACUGAUUCAACAUUGUUAUUGCAGUAAAGGAUUAUUACUAAAUUUACCAGUUAUUGUAAAUACUUGCUCCAAAAAACAUCAAAGGAAAAUUAAGGUACUUCGCUAACAAUAUAUAUAUUUUUUUUCGCAUAUAAUGUUUCAUCCUACUAUAUAUGACUUUCUUGAAGCAAUUACCCACAGAAAUCUUUUCAAUAAUGUUUAAGUAACUCAGAAUAAAAGACUGUACCCCACCCACCUGAUUUAUGCAUCUCAAAAAAUCAUAGUCUUUAAACAGAUGUAUUACAAAUUGAAUGUCGUUGAAAGUCGGUUUGGGAAAUUAAGAUUAAAUGUGGUUUCGGUGCUUCCGAGGGAUCUACAUUUCAGAUUUUAUUCAUUUACACAUAACUUAAAUAUUCUUGAAUAUACGGAAAGUUAGUUUUUUGUAUUUAUGAAAUUAAACAAAAUAAAAGUUCCUAUGACAAAACAACUAUAUCUUAGCUCUUCUCUAUUGUUUUGUAAUGUUAAAGCAAUGAUAUAUUCCAAAACUGCGAAUAAAAGCACUGUUUGGUGUUCUGUGAGAAGGAAAUACAUCAUGCAUUUGAGCGACAAGCAAUGAUUUUAUUCAAGAACUAAUCAAUUCUAAUCAUUUUUAUUCUCACACAAUAUCAAUGAAUGGUAUCUACAUUCUUGAAGAUAUCCACAAAAGUAGUAACUGUUGUCUGAUUUAUUUGGUUUUCUAUUCCAGUGUUUGACACUUUGUAAUAAUAAUUGUGACGUACAAACAAAAAAUUCAUUGCAAAAUACACAGUUUCAGUCUUACAGUUUCAAUAGAGAAACAACUUGGGUCGCUCCUAUUCAUAAUGAUAUCUUUAUGUUUUAUCAUUCUUAAAUAAACUA